rnacentral:rRNA from 1 species
UUUUAUGGAGAGUUUGAUCCUGGCUCAGGACGAACGCUGGCGGCGUGCCUAAUACAUGCAAGUCGAGCGAACAGAGAAGGAGCUUGCUCCUUUGACGUUAGCGGCGGACGGGUGAGUAACACGUGGGCAACCUACCUUAUAGUUUGGGAUAACUCCGGGAAACCGGGGCUAAUACCGAAUAAUCUAUUUCACCUCAUGGUGAAUUAUUGAAAGACGGUUUCGGCUGUCGCUAUAGGAUGGGCCCGCGGCGCAUUAGCUAGUUGGUGAGGUAACGGCUCACCAAGGCGACGAUGCG